rnacentral:lncRNA from 1 species
CCCUCGGCUCUGCUCCCAUUCGCGAAUGCGCAGAAAACCGUCGCCGAAGUUCGCCGCCCGCCGCGCGAAGUCGUCGUUUCGAGCCGUCUCUGCUCCCGUUCUUCGUCGUGGUGAGCGCGUACCACCUCCCUCUUCUUCCUCGUCCCAUUUCCUUUGAUUUUUAGCGCCUCUAGCGGUCGUCCUAAGAGCACCGUCGGGGCCGGUCAUGGCGCCACCGUCGGCCCCCCUUGCAAGCCGCCCCUCUGGCCGCGUUUUGCCCCGGGUUGGAUUCGCGUUGCCCUCCUCUCUCUCUGUGUGCUUUUGGAUUGGGAAACCAUGGCCUGUAGCCCCCUCGCGACCUUCGCCGGUGAGCUCGGGCCGGCCGUCAAUGGUGGCGCCGCCGUGAACCUUCUCGGAAACCGCCUCCUCGACCGCGUUUAUGGGUUGAAAUGGACUCGCAUCGCUCUCCUCUUUCUCCCAGUUCAAACGAAAUCGAAAACCGUGCACCGUAGCACCUCCUCCGCUCAACUCCGGCGAGCUUCAGGCGCCGGCCAUGAUGGCCACCGUGUUCUGGCCGGAGCUGGGCCUGUGCGCCGUCCCCUUCCUCUCUCUCUCUUUUUUUUAUUUUUUUUUCUUUUAAUCCAGCGCGUUCAUCUGUGAUCCAACGGCCUACAAUGCCUCGUACCCCUUCGAGGGCAUUCUUGUUAAAGAGUCCCCCAAAAAUUAUUGUAUUUGCACCGCAGUCCUCGGCUAGAGAGUUUUUCCAGGAUUUAAUUUAUUUAUUUAAAUUCGUUUAGACUCUGCUUUAUUUACAGAAUUACCACCGCAUUGUUUUAGCUAUAAAAUCGUCGUUUGAACUCCGAAUCGAUCCGUUCAAGUUGCGUUAGUUUUGUAAUUUCGUAAGCUUCGUGUUGGUACCACUGUUGUUUAGGUUUACCACUGUUAGAUUUCCUAGUUAAUUACAAGUCCAUAGAUUGUUGUUGAAAUCCCGUUAAAAGCGUAACUUUCGCGUCGUAAGUCCGUUUUUCGUGAAUUUCGCGUUGACGUGAUCGUAGCAGCACGUAGAUAAUUUUGGAAAACUUUUAUUUAAUUUGUUUACUGCUGGUGUACUGUUCUAACUUUAGAAAUUGUUCUCUUGCAUGUUUGUCUUGGUAUGCGUGAUGAUUGUGAUGUAUUGAUCGAGCCCAGAUGGUGAGGAGUAUUUCGGGAGUCCGGAGCUCUUUGGGGACCAGCAGGACCAGCAAGAACAGCAGGAGUACGUGAACCAAGGCAAGUAUAGCAUGGGCCUACCUUGUUGUCCUACUCAUUUUUAAGCAUUUCACCCUGCAUGUGUAUAAUAUUGCAAACUAUAAGGACAUCCUAGCUGUUGAUGACAAUUACCUUGUUCCCAAGGGUUUUUAUUGCAUAUGGGUAGAAGUGCUAGUGCUCUAACUCCAAUUAUAUAUGAUCUGAAAUCAGUGAUGGAACCAUGGUUAAUUGAUUAAACAUGAUUAUGAUAAAUGGAACAUAGGGCUAUGGUACAAAUGACUGUUGGUCAUGUUGUACUAGACCCUCCGUAAGGACUUAUCUGUCGGCAAAAGCUGGGACUUACAGUGCAACUGGGGGAGUCACAUGGCUCUAACUUUAGCUCAGUAGUAGGACCUUUUCUAACUCGUUAGAGGUUACCCGAAAAGGCGCAAGAGGGGCUUGCCACUUUGGGUGUAGGGCUGCCCCUGUUUCUAUGAGUAUAGCCGCGAUGGAAAUGUGCCAUAGAAAAGGGGGUUUUCUACAUCUGCCUGCCGAGGAAACCUCGUGGCCCUAACUGAUUAGAAUAGGCCUAUGGAAUGCUUCAUAGUGUACCCUGCCCGCUCACCUUGGUAGUGUUUGGGGGUCGACGGAUCCCGGGCAUAUGGGCAACACGACUCACGGUGAAAGUGCACAACCUCUGCAGAGUGUAUAACUGUUAUAACAGCCUUGCUCACGGUCACGAGCGGCCCGGAAAACUCACAGAAUAACUGGUUACUGAUGGCUUUAUGGUACAUGAUGAUGUAUAAUUAUGCUUUAAUGUGACUUAAUGACUUACUAUGGUUCUAAUAACUGAUCAUAUGAGAUAUUUGGGAGCUUAAGCAUAAACUAUGAUAAUUAAUGAUAAAACACUGACCUACUAAAAGCUG